rnacentral:rRNA from 1 species
GAUGAACGCUGGCGGCGUGCCUAAUACAUGCAAGUCGAGCGAACAGAUGAGGAGCUUGCUCCUCUGACGUUAGCGGCGGACGGGUGAGUAACACGUGGAUAACCUACCUAUAAGACUGGGAUAACUUCGGGAAACCGGAGCUAAUACCGGAUAAUAUAUUGAACCGCAUGGUUCAAUAGUGAAAGACGGUUUUGCUGUCACUUAUAGAUGGAUCCGCGCCGCAUUAGCUAGUUGGUAAGGUAACGGCUUACCAAGGCAACGAUGCGUAGCCGACCUGAGAGGGUGAUCGGCCACACUGGAACUGAGACACGGUCCAGACUCCUACGGGAGGCAGCAGUAGGGAAUCUUCCGGAAUGGGCGAAAGCCUGACGGAGCCACGGCGCGGGAGUGAUGAAGGUCUUCGGAUCGUAAAACUCUGUUAUUAGGGAAGAACAAAUGUGGAAGUAACUAUGCACGUCUUGACGGUACCUAAUCAGAAAGCCACGGCUAACUACGUG